UUGGACAUCAAUCAAGGAUCCAAGGAAUCCAUGGCCAUGAAUGAUAGCAACUAUGCAACUAUCCUUGACGAUUUGCCCGAGGCAAUCAUCAUCGAUGAGGUACUCCUUAGAUUACCAGCAAAGGAUGUUCUCCGGUGCCGCAUGGUCCGCAAGUCAUGGUGUCACGCCACCUCCACCAAAGACUUCCUCGUUGCGCACCACAAGCGCCAACCCUCGCUUCCAGUCAUCAAACAAAUCAAGUACAUCAACAACCACUAUAUUUUUGCCUUAUGUGACUCUAGUACCAUUGCUGCAAGAAGCAAGCUUUGUUGUCUACCCAUCUUCCGGUACCCUAUCCCACACCUUGAUAAUGGAAGAUUUUUUAUCUAUGCUAUCUGUGAUGGCCUCAUCAUUGUGCCUGUCUGUGAAGAGAUGGGACUCUUCGAUGUUUGCAAUCCAACUACUCGUCAGCAUGCUCCCCUACGGUUGCUUCGGGGACACAUGCUACCAAAUAGAUCCGUUCAGAUAUCCGCAUUGUACCAACAUCACCCAUCGGGAGAAUACCGGGUGCUCUACUCGAUAUGGACAAGAAAUGAGGUUCUUCAAAAUUGCACAAUUGAUUUUUGUGUCCUCACAGUGGGAUCCAAUAAGCCCAGGCCCAUCGGACAACCCCCAGUAGAAUAUAAGUUAUUGAAUCUACUCACAUGUUCUUCGAAUGCCCCAGUACUACACCGGGGUAACCUACAUUGGAAGUUGGGAACAUACUCAUACUAUGAUGCUGGCAACAUAAUGGUGUUUGACACUACAGCCGAGGCAUUCCGGUGGAUGCUCGGUCCCACCCAUACCUACAUUUCAAAGUCAUUGUUGGAGAUGGAUAGUGCUCUUGGUAUGUGUUGUAGUCAGAAUUUCAUUGUCACAGAUAUUUAUGUUAUCCAGGACUAUGAGGCUGAAGUUUGGGACUUCAUGUAUCGGAUUAACAUAUCAGAAUUGGAGGAUUCACCGCCAAUCGAUUACCGCAUAAGAUGUGUUGAAAAGAUUGCUAUGCUCAAUGAGCGUGAGUUACUGAUCGAGCUAUUGGGUGGGAGUGUUCUACACUGCGACAUUGAUGGCAAGUUUCUAGGAAUUAUUGAAUGUGAUGAAGGUGAAAAAAAC
rnacentral:rRNA from 1 species